AUGUGCAGUGAUCAUGGCAUAUAAUUUAAUCCUCGAGACUUCUUUCCUUCUAGAUCAAAAAGCAAUGUUCUCGACUAUUUCUCUUAGCCAGGUGGUAAAUUCAACAGCUACUGAUGACCCUCCAGCUGUUAGUGGUGAACAAGGUGAUUCUCUGUUAUUUGAGCCAUAUAAUCCAGUUCUUUCUGGGUUGUCAUCUCUCUCAGCCUCUCUGAAAAAGGUUAUGGGGGACAACUUUCCUCUCUGCCCCACCUCUGGUCAAUCCAUGCCCUCAUGUUUCAUUG
rnacentral:misc_RNA from 1 species